rnacentral:lncRNA from 1 species
GGGGAGGGGACAGGGUCAGGGGACGGGGGACUCUGCCAACCAAAGUCACCAUGGGGGUCCUAACGGGAUCCCAAAUCCAGACCCCGCAGUCGGGGUGGAGCGGUGGGUGUACGGCGCGGGGCGCCCACCAGGGGAUGGGGACCCCGACUUCGCGGGAGGCGCACGCUCCCUCUGAACCCCCCAGACGGUCAACGAGAGCGGAAAGUCCUAAGAAAAGUAGUCCCUUCUCGGCGUUUCCGCGGAGGGAUCUUCCGGGAUGGCGGUCGCUGGCUAUAUAAGGCGACGCCGGGCGUGGCGCAGCUAGCUCGGUCGAGACUGCGAGUUCUGUCUCUUGUGUUUUGAGAGCCGUGUUUUCACCGCCGCUGGUAAGGAGAGGUCUGCUGUGCCCGCGGGGACUGAGAGGCCAUCAGGCCACCAGGGGUGUGAAGCGAAAAGGCGGCCGAGGCCCUUGUGGCCCGGGAUCCGCGAGCCGGCCGGGUAGGCUGACGGGGAGGACGCGGCAAAAUGGCGGCCGUUUGGGACUCUUGAGUGGAGAAAGCCCGACUAUAAGGACGGUGUUGAGGUCAGAGUAGUCAGCGGGUGGUGGGUGCGAGGAAGACACCCGAGGGUCCUGAGGCUGGAAAUAACAGAUUCUUUUUGGCUGGGUGGGCUAGCGGCGGGGGCUGUGUGUUGAAGGGUUGACUGAGCAGGAGAAAUCGGCUUUAAAUACGAGGGGGCCGGGGGGGCCGGGAAGCCCGCGCGCCGUCGCGGUUGCGUGACGUCACCCUUUCUGCUGGCUCAUAGUGCGGGGUGGGGUCGCAGUUUGCUCAUUAGCAGGACGCAGGGUUUGGGGCUGCGGUGGCCGCUGAAUUGACCGGAACCGGACAUCCCGAGGAGGGGGAGAGGAGCGAGGCCCCCGAGUCUUAAUUUUGGUCAGCUUUUCUCAAUUUCCUCCUUAGUGCCUGAAACGAGGGAUCGGGAGUUGUUCAGGCUGUAGCUCCUAUUUAUAUUCUUGCUUUGUUUUUGGCAGUACUGUGGGUUGAACUGUGAGCCUCAGGCUUGCUGGGUAGAGGCUCUACCAUUUGAGCUAGGCGGCCAGCUCUUUUCCUUUAUUGCUUUUACUGAGGCAGAGUGUUUGCUUUGGCUGUUUACCGAUAUAAAGUGGUAACUGAACUAUUACAAAUGUAAAGAAAGUAGUCAAUCAUCUACUAAAUUUUCUUUGUUGUUCUUG